AGGGAUAUAGCUCAGGGGAAGAGCGCUCGCUUUGCAAGGGAGAGGGCCGGGGUUCAAUUCCCCAUAUCUCCA
rnacentral:tRNA from 1 species